GACGAACGCUGGCGGCGUGCUUAACACAUGCAAGUCGAACGGUGAACUCGCUUCGGUGGGGGAUCAGUGGCGAACGGGUGAGUAACACGUGGGCAACCUGCCCCCGCUCUGGGAUAACUCCAAGAAAUUGGGGCUAAUACCGGAUAUGACCGCUGACCGCAUGGUCUGGUGGUGGAAAGAUUUAUCGGCUGGGGAUGGGCCCGCGGCCGUAUCAGCUUGUUGGUGGGGUAGUGGCCUACCAAGGCGACGACGGGUAGCCGGCCUGAGAGGGUGACCGGCCACACUGGGACUGAGACACGGCCCAAACUCCUACGGGAGGCAGCAGUGGGGAAUCUUGCGCAAUGGGGGAAACCCUGACGCAGCCAUGCCGCGUGGAUGAUGAA
rnacentral:rRNA from 1 species